AAAUUGAAGAGUUUGAUCAUGGCUCAGAUUGAACGCUGGCGGCAGGCCUAACACAUGCAAGUCGAGCGGUAGCACAGAGAGCUUGCUCUCGGGUGACGAGCGGCGGACGGGUGAGUAAUGUCUGGGAAACUGCCUGAUGGAGGGGGAUAACUACUGGAAACGGUAGCUAAUACCGCAUAAUGUCGCAAGACCAAAGUGGGGGACCUUCGGGCCUCAUGCCAUCAGAUGUGCCCAGAUGGGAUUAGCUAGUAGGUGGGGUAACGGCUCACCUAGGCGACGAUCCCUAGCUGGUCUGAGAGGAUGACCAGCCACACUGGAACUGAGACACGGUCCAGACUCCUACGGGAGGCAGCAGUGGGGAAUAUUGCACAAUGGGCGCAAGCCUGAUGCAGCCAUGCCGCGUGUGUGAAGAAGGCCUUCGGGUUGUAAAGCACUUUCAGCGGGGAGGAAGGCGGUGAGGUUAAUAACCUCAUCGAUUGACGUUACCCGCAGAAGAAGCACCGGCUAACUCCGUGCCAGCAGCCGCGGUAAUACGGAGGGUGCAAGCGUUAAUCGGAAUUACUGGGCGUAAAGCGCACGCAGGCGGUCUGUCAAGUCGGAUGUGAAAUCCCCGGGCUCAACCUGGGAACUGCAUUCGAAACUGGCAGGCUAGAGUCUUGUAGAGGGGGGUAGAAUUCCAGGUGUAGCGGUGAAAUGCGUAGAGAUCUGGAGGAAUACCGGUGGCGAAGGCGGCCCCCUGGACAAAGACUGACGCUCAGGUGCGAAAGCGUGGGGAGCAAACAGGAUUAGAUACCCUGGUAGUCCACGCUGUAAACGAUGUCGAUUUGGAGGUUGUGCCCUUGAGGCGUGGCUUCCGGAGCUAACGCGUUAAAUCGACCGCCUGGGGAGUACGGCCGCAAGGUUAAAACUCAAAUGAAUUGACGGGGGCCCGCACAAGCGGUGGAGCAUGUGGUUUAAUUCGAUGCAACGCGAAGAACCUUACCUGGUCUUGACAUCCACAGAACUUUCCAGAGAUGGAUUGGUGCCUUCGGGAACUGUGAGACAGGUGCUGCAUGGCUGUCGUCAGCUCGUGUUGUGAAAUGUUGGGUUAAGUCCCGCAACGAGCGCAACCCUUAUCCUUUGUUGCCAGCGGUCCGGCCGGGAACUCAAAGGAGACUGCCAGUGAUAAACUGGAGGAAGGUGGGGAUGACGUCAAGUCAUCAUGGCCCUUACGACCAGGGCUACACACGUGCUACAAUGGCAUAUACAAAGAGAAGCGACCUCGCGAGAGCAAGCGGACCUCAUAAAGUAUGUCGUAGUCCGGAUUGGAGUCUGCAACUCGACUCCAUGAAGUCGGAAUCGCUAGUAAUCGUAGAUCAGAAUGCUACGGUGAAUACGUUCCCGGGCCUUGUACACACCGCCCGUCACACCAUGGGAGUGGGUUGCAAAAGAAGUAGGUAGCUUAACCUUCGGGAGGGCGCUUACCACUUUGUGAUUCAUGACUGGGGUGAAGUCGUAACAAGGUAACCGUAGGGGAACCUGCGGUUGGAUCACCUCCUUA
rnacentral:rRNA from 1 species